GCGUAUCCAACCUGCCCAUCACUUGGGGAUAACCUUGCGAAAGUAAGACUAAUACCCAAUGACGUCUCUAGAAGACAUCUGAAGGAGAUUAAAGAUUUAUCGGUGAUGGAUGGGGAUGCGUCUGAUUAGCUUGUUGGCGGGGUAACGGCCCACCAAGGCGACGAUCAGUAGGGGUUCUGAGAGGAAGGUCCCCCACAUUGGAACUGAGACACGGUCCAAACUCCUACGGGAGGCAGCAGUGAGGAAUAUUGGUCAAUGGGCGAGAGCCUGAACCAUCCAAGUAGCGUGCAGGAUGACGGCCCUAUGGGUUGUAAACUGCUUUUAUAAGGGAAUAAAGUGAGCCUCGUGAGGCUUUUUGCAUGUACCUUAUGAAUAAGGACCGGCUAAUUCCGUGCCAGCAGCCGCGGUAAUACGGAAGGUCCGGGCGUUAUCCGGAUUUAUUGGGUUUAAAGGGAGCGUAGGCCGGAGAUUAAGCGUGUUGUGAAAUGUAGACGCUCAACGUCUGCACUGCAGCGCGAACUGGUUUCCUUGAGUACGCACAAAGUGGGCGGAAUUCGUGGUGUAGCGGUGAAAUGCUUAGAUAUCACGAAGAACUCCGAUUGCGAAGGCAGCUCACUGGAGCGCAACUGACGCUGAAGCUCGAAAGUGCGGGUAUCGA
rnacentral:rRNA from 1 species